UAAGGAAUCUAUCGACCUUGAUAGAAGAGGAGUGAUCCUAUGUGAUUUGUUAGACCGAGUUCUAAGACCUUGGCCAGGGCAGUAAUAUAAAGUGGAAAAAGAGUUUUUCACUAUCGAACUCAAGUCGAAUAAAUCUUGACAUAUGACAGACGAUGGGGUUUGACGAGUUGUCCAUGACCUCCGUCCUGUGGGGAUCCACGAUAGUAGGAUUGUAUCACACGUUAACUGCACCUAGAGGUUCAUCAUUCCAUUCUGCUGGGUAGCCACUACAUGCUGCUAAGUGUCACUGGUGGAUGGUGGGACUCAUAGGGAUUAUCUUGAUGAUCGAUAAACCCUAAUGAGUUGAGUUGGAAUCGUUCCAACCCAUUGAAAGGAGUUUUCAAUGAUAUAAUGAUAGAGAUCACAAUAUAUCUCACUACCAGUCAGAAUAGAACCUAUGGGGUCACACAUACUAGAAGUAUUGACCGAUCCGAUGGUUGAAAUCGUGAUUAGGAAUCACAAGUAAUCAAUUUGAUUGAUAAGAAGUUGAAGAAGGAACAAAGGGAAUUAAUUAAUU
rnacentral:lncRNA from 1 species